GAUCCCGUGGCGUAAUGGUAGCGCGUGAGAUUCCAAUUACGGGAUGCAAAUCAACAACCCCCUCGCUCUCUCUUCGGAGCGACCGAGGCGUUGCUUCCUCAAGGUUGUCCGUUCGAUUCGGGCCGGGAUCG